UUUAGUGUACAACUAUCCGAUGAUGAUAAAAGAUUAUUAUCUCAUAUUUUCAUAAUCGUGCUUUAUAUCGAUUAUAUACUUUUGUGCAUAUCGAUUUCGGGUGUGAACAAAUUAAAAAUUGUCGCGCAAGAGAAGCAAAAGUCGCUCUUGGCGACAUUAAUUUUUUCAAAGUUACAUAUUUAUCACGUACAGUGAAAAUUGACCCAUUUUUUCGUCAAACACAACUCGCCGACCAAUGAGAGAUGGCACGCAGUGGGCGGCCAUUUUACUUUCGCUACGGUCGCGCGGAGCACCGCUUUGAGAGAUCUCUCAAACUCGAGAUCGUCUUGCUGUUUCGAAGCGAACUGUGGUAAGCGAGCGUUUGCUCUGUCGCAGGUCCGUGAGAGAUUUUCUGUUAGCAUAUUCUCCUGCAUCCCACUACGCUAAAUUCGUAUUCGACUCAAUCGACGAGAAAGCCAUCGCCAGGAUGGUUUUGGCGGAGAGAAACUCGGAAAAUGUGCGAAACGGUCGCAGAUCCCGAGGCCCCAGCCCCAACGCACAGACGGAGUCCUCCAGCGAAGAGGAUGGAGUUCCAGCAGAAAAAAUUAGAGUUGGACGAGAUUACCAAGUGGUUGUUCCAGAAUUUGUUCCUGUUAAUGAACGUCGAUUGGAUCAAUGUCCUGAUAGAGCAUUGUUAGUUUGGUCCCCAACUACAGAUAUACCAGAUCAGAAACUUGAUGAAUACAUUAUAUUAGCUAAAGAAAAGUAUGGUUAUAACGGAGAACAGGCAUUGGGAAUGCUAUUUUGGCAUAAGCAUAAUUUGGAACGUGCAGUCCUGGAUCUAGCAAAUUUUACACCAUUUCCCGAUGAAUGGACAGUUGAAGAUAAAGUACUAUUUGAACAAGCGUUCCAAUUUCAUGGCAAGAGUUUUCAUCGCAUUCGCCAAAUGCUACCUGACAAAUCUAUCGCAAGCCUCGUUAAAUACUACUAUGGCUGGAAAAAAACACGAAGCAGGACAUCAUUAAUGGACAGGCAAGCACGUAAAUUGACGAGCGGCUUCAAGGAAGGCGAAAAUGGCAGCGAAAAUGGAAGUGAGCUCGGUUCCAAUACAGAUAGCGAGUCUGAAGAAAAAAAAUGGACGAUCCACCGCGGAAUACGUCGUGGAAAGAACCAAGCUGUGCCAGGAAGCCAAGGCACUGACGCUAAGGCCCCAUCCGACUCGGAAAACGCCCCUCAGGUUCAGGGCUCGUGUAGCAACUGUGGCGUUGCAUGCCAUAAUAUUCGUACGACGCCCAAAGGACACGCGUGUCAUAGCUGCUAUCUACAUUGGAGGCGCACCGGUGUAGCGAGACCAUUAACUUCCAUGCCGGGUCGUACGAAUAAAAGAAAACCACCGCGAGGUUUGGUUGUGAAUCACGAUGAUUUGGCGGCUUUGGCUGGUCAACCAAACCAGGCCAACAACAGUUUGCAAGCGAUCGACACUGAAAUCGUUAGCCUAAAGCGUCAAAUACAAGCCAAUAAACAACAAGUGAGUGCACUAAAGCGAAAAACUGCCGAUGGUAUCGAUCAUCUACGGCCGCCGGAGGUAUCGAGCCGUAUAAAUGCUCGUUGGACAAAUGAUGAAUUGUUAUUGGCCGUUCAAGGUAUCAGAAAAUACGGAAAGGAUUUCGCUGCUAUUGCUGAAGUUAUUGGAACCAAAACCGAAGCACAUUUACGAUCAUUUUUUGUUAAUUAUCGACGGAGAUAUAAUUUGGAUGCUGUUCUAAAAGAAUUCGAGGCUGAAAACGGUCCUAUAGUGAUUGAAGAUGAAAAAGAGGAAAAGAUGGAUGUUGAUCAAUCAAACGAUACCGCAGAGUCAUCUCAGAAGGGAAAAACUUCCACCGGGCCUGGACAAGUUACUAAAUAACAAAUGAACACAAUCCCAAAACGAGAAAAAAAUUGCAGACUCAGCGAUAACAAUCGAUAAUCGAAAGGGACAUAUAACGGCAUGAUCGUGAACGAUACACAUACAUGAAAGAAAAUAGAAUAUAAGACUAGUGAUUUAUAUACAAUGCGAUGCAGAUGCUAAAUUGGUUGAUAAUUUUUGUUUUUUUAAUUUUUGACACUGAGGUGCCUUGUGUGACAUGGGAUACGCGAAAUUAUCGCAUAUACCACUUGAAAAUCUCUCAUUGAGUUUAAACAAGCGAUAUCUAUGUAUUGACAUGUUAUUACACGUUCAGAAAAUAUCAAGAAAUCCAAUGC